GUGGAUUAGAUACCCUGGUAGUCCACGCCGUAAACGAUGAUCACUCGCUGUUUGCGAUAUACAGCAAGCGGCUGAGCGAAAGCAUUAAGUGAUCCACCUGGGGAGUACGAUCGCAAGGUUGAAACUCAAAGGAAUUGACGGGGGCCCGCACAAGCGGAGGAACAUGUGGUUUAAUUCGAUGAUACGCGAGGAACCUUACCUGGGCUUAAAUGUAGGCUGCAUUCGGCUGAAAGGCUGAUUCCCUUCGGGGCUGCUUACAAGGUGCUGCACGGCCGUCGCCAACU
rnacentral:rRNA from 1 species